AGCGAACGCUGGCGGCAGGCCUAACACAUGCAAGUCGAACGAACCUUUCGGGGUUAGUGGCGGACGGGUGAGUAACACGUGGGAACGUGCCUUUAGGUUCGGAAUAACUCAGGGAAACUUGUGCUAAUACCGAAUGUGCCCUUCGGGGGAAAGAUUAAUCGCCUUUAGAGCGGCCCGCGUCUGAUUAGCUAGUUGGUUGAGGUAAUGGCUCACCAAGGCGACGAUCAGUAGCUGGUCUGAGAGGAUGAUCAGCCACAUUGGGACUGAGACACGGCCCAAACUCCUACGGGAAGCAGCAGUGGGGAAUCUUGCGCAAUGGGCGAAAGCCUGACGCAGCCAUGCCGCGUGAAUGAUGAAGGUCUUAGGAUUGUAAAAUUCUUUCACCGGGGACGAUAAUGACGGUACCCGGAGAAGAGGCCCCGGCUAACUUCGUG
rnacentral:rRNA from 1 species